UAUAAAAAAAAUCCUGUCGUUUUACAUAUCGUGGACUAAUAAAAGAACCAAACUAAAAAAGAUAUAUGUAGUUCCAUCAAUAUUUGUACCCGAAACAAACUCCUUAAUCUUGCUCAAGGUGAAAUACUAAUUUGGCAUCUUCUGACAGUAAAUCAUUGGAAUUAUUAAAUUAACAAAUAGACGUGUUUCACUCCACAAAUUAACUCAGUAAUUUGUCAAAUAUCCUAUUAUGGUUGUUUUUAGAGCAAGAACUUACUUUCUAUCCUUAUCUAAAGCAUAAGAAGCUACCAGUGUCAAAGCUUGUGUAUAUUGUGAGAAAGAAAAUAAUGUGGAACCAAAAGAGAGGAUUUCGAAAAUUGAAGAAUUGAGUUCUUCUAUUGUCUCGUAUAAAUUUGUGAAUUUUGCUCUUCACCAUCCAUAAGGGUAGAGGAAGACUAAUAUAUACAAUAGAAACUUGUUUUUAAGUUAUAUGUGUAGUAGUAAAAUUAUAAGAUGAUUUUUUAAUUAGUUGAAAUCAUAGCUUAGAAAAAGUCUAAUUUCAUAGUUAAAAGUUCCUCUGUUAAUGUGCAAGAAAAUAGAAAACGAUCCUGGAGCAAAUAGAAGAGUGAACAAAUUGUUCAAUGUAUCUUGAAUUCAUUGUAUGUCUCUAAAUCCAAAAAUUAUUGUAUUUAAUAUUAUAAUGGUAUCUAUGAUAUUGCAGCAAAUAAAUGUGCAUUUAAUUUCUGUA
rnacentral:lncRNA from 1 species